AUUGAACGCUGGCGGAAUGCUUUACACAUGCAAGUCGAACGGCAGCACGGACUUCGGUCUGGUGGCGAGUGGCGAACGGGUGAGUAAUACAUCGGAACGUGCCCAGUCGUGGGGGAUAACGUAGCGAAAGCUACGCUAAUACCGCAUACGAUCUAAGGAUGAAAGCGGGGGAUCGCAAGACCUCGCGCGAUUGGAGCGGCCGUUGGCAGAUUAGGUAGUUGGUAGGGUAAAGGCCUACCAAGCCGACGAUCUGUAGCUGGUCUGAGAGGACGACCAGCAACACUGGGACUGAGACACGGCCCAGACUCCUACGGGAGGCAGCUGUGGGGAAUUUUGGACAAUGGACGCAAGUCUGAUCCAGCCAUUCCGCGUGCAGGAUGAAGGCCCUCGGGUUGUAAACUGCUUUUGUACAGAACGAAAAGGCUCUGGUUAAUACCUGGAGCUCAUGACGGUACUGUAAGAAUAAGCACCGGCUAACUACGUGCCAGCCGCCGCGGUAA
rnacentral:rRNA from 1 species